AUUGAACGCUGGCGGCAGGCCUAACACAUGCAAGUCGAGCGGAUGAAGGGAGCUUGCCCCUGGAUUCAGCGGCGGACGGGUGAGUAAUGCCUAGGAAUCUGCCUGGUAGUGGGGGAUAACGUCCGGAAACGGGCGCUAAUACCGCAUACGUCCUGAGGGAGAAAGUGGGGGAUCUUCGGACCUCACGCUAUCAGAUGAGCCUAGGUCGGAUUAGCUAGUUGGUGGGGUAAAGGCCUACCAAGGCGACGAUCCGUAACUGGUCUGAGAGGAUGAUCUGUCACACUGGAACUGAGACACGGUCCAGACUCCUACGGGAGGCAGCAGUGGGGAAUAUUGGACAAUGGGCGAAAGCCUGAUCCAGCCAUGCCGCGUGUGUGAAGAAGGUCUUCGGAUUGUAAAGCACUUUAAGUUGGGAGGAAGGGCAGUAAGUUAAUACCUUGCUGUUUUGACGUUACCAACAGAAUAAGCACCGGCUAACUUCGUG
rnacentral:rRNA from 1 species